rnacentral:rRNA from 1 species
CGGUGGAUGAUGUGGUUUAAUUCGAUGCAACGCGAAAACCUUACCACCUUGACAUGUACGGAAUCCUUAGAGAUAGAGGAGUGCCGAAGAGAACCGUAACACAGGUGCUGCAUGGCUGUCGUCAGCUCGUGUCGUGAGAUGUUGGGUUAAGUCCCGCAACGAGCGCAACCCUUGUCAUUAGUUGCUACAUUCAGUUGGGGCACUCUAAUGAGACUGCCGGUGACAAAUCGGAGGAAGGUGGGGAUGACGUCAAGUCCUCAUGGCCCUUAUAGGUGGGGCUACACACGUCAUACAAUGGAUGGUACAAAGGGUCGCCAACCCGCGAGGGGGAGCCAAUCCCAUAAAGCCAUUCGUAGUCCGGAUCGCAGUCUGCAACUCGACUGCGUGAAGUCGGAAUCGCUAGUAAUCGUGGAUCAGAAUGUCACGGUGAAUACGUUCCCGGGUCUU